rnacentral:tRNA from 1 species
GUAGCUCAAGUCCAGUGGGUAGAGCGCUGGGUUAAAACUCAGAGGUUGGCAGUUCAAAUCUGUCCGCA